CCGAAGUCGUAAUCUAGUCUGUCAUGGGAUAUUUAUAUGCUUGUGAUUUGUCAUUUUGUGAUGCUAUAACAGCAAUUGCUAUGAAACGGGAACAGGGAAGUAGGAGUUACAGCGCGUACUGGAUAGUUUUGGUCAUAUUUAGAAAGUUUGAACGAUUCUCCUUUAGAAAAUAAAACUUUUGUAAUUAAUUGGCAGUCCAGUUUGGCUUUUUCUAAAUAAAAGUUUUGUAGUCUGUAGAUUUUCAAAUACGAAACUAAUAGUAACGUUGAAAUAGCAUAUUUAAAAUUUUUUUAGCAUUUCUUCAGCUUAGGCCGUAACAAUAACUAUACCCGUAUAACUAUAAGGCUAACAUUUAUUAUAUAUCCAAAUGUUAAAAUGGAAGUUAAUCUCAUUUGGUAUAAUUGAAUCCAAAUCAUUGUACUAAUACUAGUACUAUUACUAGACAACUUUUUAUGUUUCAUGGGUAUAUAAGUGUAAAAAUCACUGUUUUUAAUGUGCAUGAAAAAAAAACGUAAUUUUAAAUAGUCUGUGACUGAAAUUGAAAACGAAAGUAUUAUUUUUUACUCCAAGUUCAAAUUUUAAUACUUUGUAAUCUUUCUGAAAAGAAGGAGCCUUAUGGUCUUGCAUAGAUAACAUUGACUAGGCAAAAACAAAACAGUAAGCCACCAAUAGUGUGGAAAUGAGAAAAUCAUGUUCUAGGAUUAAUGAAGAACAAAUACCAACAAAUUUUGUUCUCUGUUUUGGCUAUGAUGCAGACUGCAGAAGAUGAAGUGAUGUUACUAUGGGAUACCUCACUGAACGUGUGAUUUUUCGCCCACUAAAACAGAGAGAGACAGUUGAAUACAAGUGACAGGUAAAAUUGGCAGAUGAUUUUUGAUUUUCAAGUCAUAAAAAAAUUAUAUAAAAUAACUUAAGAAUGAAUAUAAAUGAUAGUUGCUUAGAAUUUUAUGACAAACUUAUGGUCAACAAGAAAUUACCAGGGGUUAAACUGAGGUAGAACAGUCAGGAACAGCAUUUUGCUUCUUGAGGAUUCAAGCCAUUAGCAUUUAAGGUCUUCUGAUUGGAAUAUUAAAAUAGAUCAUAAAAGGGAAUUCCACUUCUUCCAAAAUCCAAAUUUAAACAAUGAAAAUUGCUAGAAAAUAUUCACUCAUCAUAGUGGUAUCUAUAGCAGGUGUUAAAUAUUCACUCAUCAUAGAGGUAUCAAUAGCAGGUGUUAAAUAUUCACUCAUUAUAGAGGUAUUUAUAGCAGGUGUUUAAUUUUCAUCAUCAUAGAGGUAUGUAUAGCAGGUGUUAAAUAUUCACUCAUCAUAGAGGUAUCUAUAGCAGGUGUUAAAUAUUCACUCAUCAUAGAGGUAUGUAUAGCAGGUGUUAAAUAUUCACUCAUCAUAGAGGUAUCUAUAGCAGGUGUUAAAUAUUCACUCAUCAUAGAGGUAUCUAUAGCAGGUGUUAAAUAUUCACUCAUCAUAGAGGUAUCUAUAGCAGGUGUUAAAUAUACACGAUUGUUCAUUUUAAGUUUAAUAUGAGAGUAUUAUUUAGUUUAUAUAGUGCGAACGUUAAAGUAAGUUAUAUUCAGAAGUGAUAGUUGUGGCAAGUUUGUUUACAUAACUGUUUACAACUCAUUUGUUGUAAAUUGAUAUCAUGUUAUUCAAACUGUCUGAAUUUUUCUCGUUGCUUUGAAUGAGUAUUGUUACAUAAAACCAUCUCAUAGUUUGUAGAAAGUUAAUUCAGGCAAUACAUAGAUAUAUCUAUAAGCGAAUAAGUUAGAUGAAAAAAAGUAAGUUAGAGAAAGUGAAAGUAAGACAAAGUUAGUGCGAGAUAUAAUCAAAUAGACCUAGACUGUGUUUGUAAGUUUAACCUUAAAGAGUGUAUUCUGGUGACUUUUAAAGUGUAAUAAUAGCAGAUUGUAUUGUCAUAACAGAGUAGAGAAGAAUGAUUCAUCUUGUCAAUUGGUUUCUAAAGUAACUGAACCAGCUUAUGAUGAAAAAGA
rnacentral:lncRNA from 1 species